AUUGAACGCUGGCGGAAUGCUUUACACAUGCAAGUCGAACGGUAGAGGGGGCAACCCCUCGAGAGUGGCGAACGGGUGAGUAAUAUAUCGGAAUGUACCCAGUAAUGGGGGAUAACGCUUCGAAAGGAGUGCUAAUACCGCAUACGCCCUGAGGGGGAAAGUGGGGGACCGCAAGGCCUCACGUUAUUGGAGCAGCCGAUGGCUGAUUAGCUAGUUGGUGAGGUAAAGGCUCACCAAGGCGACGAUCAGUAGCGGGUCUUAGAGGACGAUCCGCCACACUGGAACUGAGACACGGUCCAGACUCCUACGGGAGGCAGCAGUGGGGAAUCUUGGACAAUGGGCGAAAGCCUGAUCCAGCAAUGCCGCGUGCGUGAAGAAGGCCUUCGGGUUGUAAAGCGCUUUUGUCUGGGAGCAAAUCCUGGCCUCUAAUACAGGUCGGGGAUGAGAGUACCAGAAGAAUAAGGACCGGCUAACUACGUGCCAGCAGCCGCGGUAA
rnacentral:rRNA from 1 species